rnacentral:snRNA from 1 species
AAAUAUGAGAGUAAUCUGGCUGCAACAUCUGUCACCUCAUUGAUGGCCAGGAUUGAUUCAGCUAAUCUGGAUGACUUGGCAGGUGUCUUUUUCCUGCCUCACUACUCCAUGUGUGUCCUUUCUGAAGCUACUUGCUAGGUUGAAGAAGAUGACCUUCCCAGAUAGAGAACCAUUCUUCACUGAAGGGUACACAAGCAGCUGUGUUCCCCUGCUAGAACCUCUAAAUAUGCUGUCAAGGAUAUAGGUCCAAGUGGUAAGACUUAAGAGGUAAAAGAAAGAAAGAAUCAAAGGAUCCUAUGAAGAGCAAUUCAGUGGAGUAUCAUUACUU